rnacentral:rRNA from 1 species
CGGGGCUACCUUGCAGUCGAGCGGGCAUAGCAAUAUGUCAGCGGUAGCCGGGUGAGUAACGCGUGGGCACUUACCUUUUGGUUCGGAUCACCUGAGGGAAACUUCAGCUAAUACCGGAUAAGCCCUUCCGGGGAAAGAUUUAUCGCCGAAAGAUCGGCCCGCGUCUGAUUAGCUAGUUGGUGAGGUAAUGGCUCACCAAGGCGACGAUCAGUAGCUGGUCUGAGAGGAAGAUCCGCCACCUUGGGACUGAAACACGGCCCAAACUCCUACGGGAGGCAGCAGUGGGGAAUAUUGGACAAUGGGCGCACGCCUGAUCCAGCCAUGCCGCGUGAGUGAUGAAGGCCCUAGGGUUGUAAAGCUCUUUUGUGCGGGAAGAUAAUGACGGUACCGCAAGAAUAAGCCCCGGCUAACUUCGUGCCCCCAGCCGCGGUAAUACGAAGGGGGCUAGCGUUGCUCGGAAUCACUGGGCCUAAAGGGUGCGUAGGCGGGCCUUUAUGUCAGGGGUGAAAUCCUGGACCUCCACUCCAGAAGUGCCUUUGAUAUUGAAAAUCUUGACUUCGGGAGAGGUGAGUGGAACUGCCAGUGUACAGGUGAAAUUCGUAUAUAUUCGCAAGAAGACCAUCGGCGAAAGAGGCUCACUGGCCCGAUACUGACGCUGAGGCACGAAAGCGUGUGGAGCAUAGAGGAUUAUAUACCCUGGUAGUCCACGCCGUAAAUGAUGAAUGCCCACCGUCAGUGGGUUUACUCGCUAGUGGCGCAGCUAACGCUUUAAGCAUUCCGCCUGGAGAGUGAUGUCGCAAGAUUAAUACUCAAAGGAGUUGACGGCGUCCCACAC